ensembl:misc_RNA 7SK 7SK RNA
GGAAGUGAGGGCGAUCUGGCUGUGACAUUUGUCACCCCACUGAUCGCCAGGGUUGAUUCAGCUGAUCUGGCUGGCUAGACAGGUGUCCCUGUCCUCCCUCACCGCUCCAUGUGUGUCCUUCCGGAAGCUGUGUGCUCGGUGGAAGAGGACAGCCUUCCCCAAAUAUAAAUGGACCUGUCUUCGGUUGAGGGUAUAAGAGUAGUUGCAACCCCCUGCUAGAACCUCCAAACAAGCUCUCAAGAAUUCUCCUUCAAAGCAAGGAGUAGGCUCCCAACUGAGGAUGGUGUAGGAAGAAGAGAAGCACCCCAUUUUGUUAACAUUGGGGGUUCCAGAGAGGCCCGGAACCUGUCUGU